GAUAACCAUAUUACUGAGUGUUUUUUUGGAUCAUUGAACAAAACUAUUUGCACUCUCACUGUUUGAAAGUUCACUUUAUGUGAUUCAAUUUUGUAACUUGAACAACUAUUUCUAAGAUGAGAAUAUGUAAUCUAUUAACUAGUGAUUUCUUACUGUUUGUUUUUUAAAUUUUAUAUUACAUGUACCCUUUUUCUGUUUUUUUUUUUUUUUUUUUUUUCUCCUUAAAUUAAAAAAAAAAAAAAAAAAACAAAAAAACAAGACCCACACUGCGGAAGAAGCCAACUUAAACCUUUCCCAGCCUGUCUGCCUGCCCUGGCUCAGUCCACCGAGCCAUAAUUACCUAUACUCAACUGAUAUUAAAUAACAUUGUAGCUGAUUUCUCUCCUAAAUAAAAAGGUAAAAAUUAAUAAAACAGGCCAUCCUCCAAAAAUCAGAUGGUAUUAGAUAUUUUAACAACAUAAAGGGAUACUUAUAUAUGACAUAAAUGACAUGUCAGUUCCUAAAAUUCUCUGGACCUUGUCCUCCUUAUGAGAAGCCAUUACUAAAGUCAUAAAUACCCUGUUGAUUAUAUUUGACUCCUGCAUACUUCCUUAGUUCUACAGAUAUCUUCUACUGUAGACCAAAUCCCAAACAAAAAGGCAAAACUUGAUCUUCAAACUCCACAGAGACCACCUUAAUAUGGCUUUUCAUGUUUUUAACAACAGAGAUAACAAUAACACUUGUGACACUUGGAGUUCUGAGACAGGUAAACCGACACAAGGUGGAGCUGCCUGCCCCCCACCCCACGAACCAUGCCUCAAAUGUAGCAGAAGACAUUGGGUAAGAGAGUGCCCCAUCCUGGUGUUCCUUUGGGAUCUUACAGGCUACUGGACUGUCCUAGCCACCAGAGAGUGGCUAAGCCAUCCUAACUUCUAGCCCUCACAGGAAAUGCCAACACUGCCAGAUUCAUCGCUGACAGAUCUGCUUAAACUUGCUGCUGAAGACUGAUGGUGCUCAGGGCCAACAACAGCCCCCAUUAAGGUGCCCAUCUCAGAGUCCAAGUCCCACUAAAAGUCUCAGUCUAACAUAUGUGCAUUCACCAGUGAAGUUGUCCUGGCUAAAACACCUGGCACCAGCGUCUACCUGGGCAUCAACCUUCAUCCCGUCGACUCCCCUAGGCUCCCGUAUAGCGCCCUCUGCCAGCAGGAAAUAAAGAGGGAAAUCUUUGCCCCUUUUCAUAAUCAUAAGACGGAAUAUGAAAGGGUUUUGGCCCAGACAGAACUCUGUAGCCAGGAAAGCCUCAACUGGAACCAGAAAGCUCCUAUCUCCCCCACCCCUAAGAAUUUACCUGUGAUGCCAUCUUCCCGCCCCUGAGAAUUUACCUAUGGCGCCAAACCUAGGACCAAUGGGCUACCUGUGCAUUCCUAAUGCCCCCCCUUAGGUUCCACUCCAAACCGAGGCUACUUACAUACCCCCACGCCACGUGUCUGCCAGAGAGAUCGCCAGAUGCCAGCAGUGGGGGGUGCCGGUCAUCUCUCUCCGCGUUCUCAGAAUAAAGGUCGCUUUUUGUUUUAUA